rnacentral:rRNA from 1 species
AGAGUUUGCCCUGGCUCAGGACGAACGCUGGCGGCGCGCCUAACACAUGCAAGUCGAACGAGCGAGAGAGAGCUUGCUUUCUCGAGCGAGUGGCGAACGGGUGAGUAACGCGUGAGGAACCUGCCUCAAAGAGGGGGACAACAGUUGGAAACGACUGCUAAUACCGCAUAAGCCCACAGCUCGGCAUCGAGCAGAGGGAAAAGGAGCAAUCCGCUUUGAGAUGGCCUCGCGUCCGAUUAGCUAGUUGGUGAGGUAACGGCCCACCAAGGCGACGAUCGGUAGCCGGACUGAGAGGUUGAACGGCCACAUUGGGACUGAGACACGGCCCAGACUCCUACGGGAGGCAGCAGUGGGGAAUAUUGCACAAUGGGGGAAACCCUGAUGCAGCGACGCCGCGUGGAGGAAGAAGGUCUUCGGAUUGUAAACUCCUGUUGUUGAGGAAGAUAAUGACGGUACUCAACAAGGAAGUGACGGCUAACUACGUGCCAGCAGCCGCGGUAAAACGUAGGUCACAAGCGUUGUCCGGAAUUACUGGGUGUAAAGGGAGCGCAGGCGGGGAGGCAAGUUGGAAGUGAAAUCCAUGGGCUCAACCCAUGAACUGCUUUCAAAACUGUUUUUCUUGAGUAGUGCAGAGGUAGGCGGAAUCCCCGGUGUAGCGGUGGAAUGCGUAGAUAUCGGGAGGAACACCAGUGGCGAAGGCGGCCUACUGGGCACCAACUGACGCUGAGGCUCGAAAGUGUGGGUAGCAAACAGGAUUAGAUACCCUGGUAGUCCACACUGUAAACGAUGAUUACUAGGUGUUGGAGGAUUGACCCCUUCAGUGCCGCAGUUAACACAAUAAGUAAUCCACCUGGGGAGUACGACCGCAAGGUUGAAACUCAAAGGAAUUGACGGGGGCCCGCACAAGCAGUGGAGUAUGUGGUUUAAUUCGACGCAACGCGAAGAACCUUACCAAGUCUUGACAUCCUGCGACGCACAUAGAAAUAUGUGUUUCCUUCGGGACGCAGAGACAGGUGGUGCAUGGUUGUCGUCAGCUCGUGUCGUGAGAUGUUGGGUUAAGUCCCGCAACGAGCGCAACCCUUAUGGUCAGUUACUACGCAAGAGGACUCUGGCCAGACUGCCGUUGACAAAACGGAGGAAGGUGGGGAUGACGUCAAAUCAUCAUGCCCUUUAUGACUUGGGCUACACACGUACUACAAUGGCGUUAAACAAAGAGAAGCAAGACCGCGAGGUGGAGCAAAACUCAGAAACAACGUCUCAGUUCGGACUGCAGGCUGCAACUCGCCUGCACGAAGUCGGAAUUGCUAGUAAUCGCAGAUCAGCAUGCUGCGGUGAAUACGUUCCCGGGCCCUUGACACACCGCCCGUCAAGGGCGAUA